CUUCCCCUCCUUCCCCGCCGACCGUUCACUACACCUGCUGCAACCUGCCUGUAAGACUGGGAUAACUUCGGGAAACCGAAGCUAAUACGGAUAGGAUCUUCUCCUUCAUGGGAGAUGAUUGAAAGAUGGUUUCGGCUAUCACUUACAGAUGGGCCCGCGGUGCAUUAGCUAGUUGGUGAGGUAACGGCUCACCAAGGCAACGAUGCAUAGCCGACCUGAGAGGGUGAUCGGCCACACUGGGACUGAGACACGGCCCAGACUCCUACGGGAGGCAGCAGUAGGGAAUCUUCCGCAAUGGACGAAAGUCUGACGGAGCAACGCCGCGUGAGUGAUGAAGGCUUUCGGGUCGUAAAACUCUGUUGUUAGGGAAGAACAAGUACGAGAGUAACUGCUCGUACCUUGACGGUACCUAACCAGAAAGCCACGGCUAACUACGUGCCAGCAGCCGCGGUAAUACGUAGGUGGCAAGCGUUAUCCGGAAUUAUUGGGCGUAAAGCGCGCGCAGGCGGUUUCUUAAGUCUGAUGUGAAAGCCCACGGCUCAACCGUGGAGGGUCAUUGGAAACUGGGGAACUUGAGUGCAGAAGAGAAAAGCGGAAUUCCACGUGUAGCGGU
rnacentral:rRNA from 2 species